AACUGUUUUACAACAGCAGCCAUAUGGCUGUGGCCUUUCUGAAACUCAUUUAGUAGGUCAUACAAUGGCAUUGUUUCAGAAACCCUGGUUUAAGGGUCAUUGUGGCUCAGGUCCUUCAUUUAACAGAUGCCAUCAAGCUGCCACUAGAUUGGUAUUCUAGUCUUUAUGAAGACAAGUGAUGGUAUGCCAUCGGUUGAGCCUGCAAAUGUACUGGGUGGCACAAUUCAAGAGGGAUAACAAUAUAAUCAAGGAGACUGAAGAAAAAACUUAAAUCAAU